GACGUAGGGCGCGAGCGUUGUCCGGAUUUAUUGGGCGUAAAGAGCUCGUAGGCGGCUCGUUGCGUCGGCUGUGAAAACCCGCAGCUCAACUGUGGGCUUGCAGCCGAUACGGGCGGGCUGGGAUUCGGUAGGGGAGACUGGAAUUCCUGGUGUAGCGGUGAAAUGCGCAGAUAUCAGGAGGAACACCGGUGGCGAAGGCGGCUUCCUGGACCGACACUGACGCUGAGGCGCGAAAGCUAGGGGGAGCAAAACGGGG
rnacentral:rRNA from 1 species